UACGAAGGGGACUAGCGUUGUUCGGAAUCACUGGGCGUAAAGCGCACGUAGGCGGAUUUGUAAGUCAGGGGUGAAAUCCCGGGGCUCAACCUCGGAACUGCCUUUGAUACUGCGAGUCUUGAGGCCGGUAGAGGUGGGUGGAACUCCUGGUGGAGUGGUGAAAUGCGUAGAGAUCAGGAAGAACACCCGUGGCGAAGGCGGCCCACUGGGCCGGUACUGACGCUGAGGCACGAAGGCGUGGGGGAGCGAACGGGG
rnacentral:rRNA from 1 species